CUUCCUAGAGCUUCGGUUCCAGAGAGUGAGAGAGGGGGUUCAGGGAGAGAUUAAGGGAAAGAGAGAGAGUGAGGUGGCCGGCUGGAUUUGGGUAGCUAGCGGCCGGGGAGGGGCGUGGUGCACUUUGAGAAGAGAGAGGGUGUCGGCUGAGUGUGAAUGGGUCGAGAACAGAGUUAGGGUUAGGGUUAGGGUUAGGGUUAGGGUUGGGAGAAGAGAAA
rnacentral:lncRNA from 1 species